rnacentral:rRNA from 1 species
UACGUAGGGUCCGAGCGUUGUCCGGAAUUAUUGGGCGUAAAGCGCGCGUAGGUGGCCACAUAAGUCCGUUGUGAAAGUCAAAGGCUCAACCUUUGAAAGCCGAUGGAUACUGUGCGGCUAGAGUACGGAAGAGGCGAGUGGAAUUCCUGGUGUAGCGGUGGAAUGCGCAGAUAUCAGGAGGAACACCAAUAGCGAAGGCAGCUCGCUGGGACGUUACUGACACUGAGGCGCGAAAGCGUGGGGAGCGAACAGG